rnacentral:rRNA from 1 species
AGUGAACGCUGGCGGUAGGCCUAACACAUGCAAGUCGAACGGCAGCACAGUAAGAGCUUGCUCUUACGGGUGGCGAGUGGCGGACGGGUGAGGAAUACAUCGGAAUCUACUUUUUCGUGGGGGAUAACGUAGGGAAACUUACGCUAAUACCGCAUACGACCUACGGGUGAAAGCAGGGGAUCUUCGGACCUUGCGCGAUUGAAUGAGCCGAUGUCGGAUUAGCUAGUUGGCGGGGUAAAGGCCCACCAAGGCGACGAUCCGUAGCUGGUCUGAGAGGAUGAUCAGCCACACUGGAACUGAGACACGGUCCAGACUCCUACGGGAGGCAGCAGUGGGGAAUAUUGGACAAUGGGCGCAAGCCUGAUCCAGCCACACCGCGUGGGUGAAGAAGGCCUUCGGGUUGUAAAGCCCUUUUGUUGGGAAAGAAAAGCAGCAGGUUAAUACCCCGCUGUUCUGACGGUACCCAAGGAAUAAGCACCGGCUAACUUCGU